rnacentral:sRNA from 1 species
GGGUGGGGAUCGGCGCGGCCCAUGCUGGUGAA